rnacentral:rRNA from 1 species
GCAGCUCUCAUUUGGUGGUGAACUCCAUCUAAGGCUAAAUAUGACCACGAGACCGAUAGCGAACAAAUACCGUGAGGGAAAGUUGAAAAGAACUUUGAAGAGAGAGUUCAGGAGUACGUGAAACCGUUCAGGGGUAAACUUGAGAAACCCAAAAGAUAGAAUGGGAAGAUUCACCGUCAGUAGAUAUUAAACUGUGUGGGAAUGGCGAUGUUCGCUUUCGGUUUCUGCCGCAAUUGUGGGGCACGCUUUCUUCCCACUUGUAUCUAUAUCGUUGGCGAGCACUUCUUCCCUAGUAGAAGUGCGCGACCCGUUGACUGUCGGCCUACGGUACGACAAGGUAGAAUGUCGCGUUGUGUUCGCAAGUACGCUUCACACCGUCUUUAUACCCGGCCGGCUGCUCCGCGGUAAAAGUCAUGCAGAUAUUUGACAGGGGGUAAUGGGCCGCACGUAAUCUAUCUCUGUUCUUUAACAUUGGUUGGGUCAGUGCGUUCAGGUUCAUAGGCAGGUCACCCGUGCACGGUUUACAAAUCUGGUAUCGUGUCCGGGCAUGCAGUGGCCGUUAGUCGAUGAUGUCCUCAGACGGGCUCUGACCUCGGUACAUUAUGUAGUGGGAUGGUG